CCUACGGUAUGCAGCAGUGAGGAAUAUUGGUCAAUGGGCGUAAGCCUGAACCAGUCAAGUCGCGUGAGGGAUUAAGGUUCUAUGUAUCGUAAACCUCUUUUAUACGGGCAUAAAGUGCGGGACUUUUCCCGUUUUGUAUUUACCUUAUGAAUAAGGAUCGGCUAACUCCGUGCCAGCAGCCGCGGUAAUACGGAGGAUCCGAGCGUUAUCCGGAUUUAUUGGGUUUAAGGGGUGCGUAGGCGGCCUUUUAAGUCAGCGGUGAAAGUCUGUGGCUCAACCAUAGAAUUGCCGUUGAAACAGGGAGGCUUGGUUAUGUUGGAGGCAGGCGGAAUGCGUGGUGUAGCGGUGAAAUGCUUGG
rnacentral:rRNA from 1 species